CAGCAGCCGCGGUAAUACAUAGGUCCCGAGCGUUGUCCGGAUUUAUUGGGCGUAAAGGGAGCGCAGGCGGUUUAGUAAGUCUGAAGUUAAAGGCAUUGGCUCAACCAAUGUAUGCUUUGGAAACUGUUAGACUUGAGUGCAGAAGGGGAGAGUGGAAUUCCAUGUGUAGCGGUGAAAUGCGUAGAUAUAUGGAGGAACACCGGUGGCGAAAGCGGCUCUCUAGUCUGUCACUGACGCUGAGGCUCGAAAGCGUGGGUAGCGAACAGGAUUAGAUACCCCAGUAGUCCCUGUCUCUUAUACA
rnacentral:rRNA from 1 species